AUCAACGCUGGCGGCGCGCUUAACACAUGCAAGUCGAACGAGAAAGCGGGGGCAACCUCGUGAGUAAAGUGGCGUACGGGUGAGUAACACGUGGAUCAUCUACCCUUUAGCCUGGAAUAACGCUGGGAAACCGGCGCUAAUACCGGAUGAGCCCGAGAGGGGAAAGCAGCAAUGCACUGAAGGAGGAGUCCGCGGCCGAUUAGCUAGUUGGCAGGAUAAAAGCCUACCAAGGCAAAGAUCGGUAGCCGGCCUGAGAGGGCACACGGCCACACUGGCACUGAAACACGGGCCAGACUCCUACGGGAGGCAGCAGUGGGGAAUCUUGCACAAUGGGGGAAACCCUGAUGCAGCGACGCCGCGUGAGCGAUGAAGCCCUUCGGGGUGUAAAGCUCUUUCGGCAGGGAAGAAACAUGACGGUACCUGCAGAAGCAGCUGCGGCUAACUACGU
rnacentral:rRNA from 1 species